GGCAGCAGGGUUGGGCUCUCGCCGUGAGUCGACGAAGGGAGCGCGGGCGCGCGCCCGCGUCCGCGCACUGAGAGUCGCCUCGGCCGCUCGCUUUCUCGACUCCCGCCUCGCGCCUCGAUCCUGUUCCGCCUCCCUCGGCCCUCCUGCCCGCCCCCACUCGUCGGCCCUCAGGUUCCUGGAAAGUGAAAAUUUCAUUUCUUUGUGGACAGCUCAGAGACCUAAUAGGAUGGGGUCUUAGAGAAACAUCUUUUGAGCCACAGACUUCUUUGUUACCAGAAGGAAAAUGAAAGAAGAAAUUUAAAUACCACUUGAAGAGAGAGAGUGUGAAGAAAUGACCCUGAAAAGCCUCUGGCAGAGGAUUCUUCUUUCAGGAUGGUGUCGCCUCCUCAGCAGCCCAUCCUCCUCCCCUGGACUCAAGCUCUCAUUCCAGUAACACUCCUUCCUCCUUCUCCAUCUUCAGGGGGAGGUUUGCCAGUCGGUGGGUUCUAAGCAUAUCUCGCUGAUUCCCCCCAACCCUGCCGACACCUCUGUAGGUCGUCCCUUCAUUAAAAUCUCUCCAUUUGAACUAUCUGAGUUUAAUUCCAUUUCCUCCUGGUAUCUCAGUGAUACACGGUAUCAGUACAAAAAUCUCGCUUCACCUUCAGAACCAACAGAUUUGAGACAUUUUAUCCUCUGUGGAACCAUUAGUUAUUUUGUCAUUGGUUGUAUCAGAAAAAAAAAUCAGGAAUGCAAAUCCUUCUUUAUUACAGAUUCAGAUUUGCAUAUUACCAAUGUUAUAUAUUUUAAACAAAACUAUUCAUCAUAAGUUUUAAAAAUUAACUACUGGAGUAGUUAAUGAAUCUGAAUGUAAUUAUGUAGCUUUCAUAAUAUUAAAGUAAAAAUACUAAAAGAAGUAUUUCUUAAAGAAGCAAAUGCUCAAUCUCCAAGUAAAUUUUAUUCUAUGCUCUUCCGGUAUAAGAAUAUGUUAAUAUCUUGAAAAAUAUCAUAUUAUUUUGUGAACUCAUAAAGCUAUUUUGAGUUUUUGUAAAAUGAAAACCUUACCAAAAUGUAUUUUAUUGUUGGAAAGCUUGACCGUUACUGCUGUUUAAUUUUUUGAGCUUGUAAACUUUAUUUGUGCAUGUUUUCAACAAAGAAGGAUUUUAUUGUUAUUACAUAAAACAGGUGAUUUCUAGAUUUUAAAAUCACAAAUUGAAAGCAAGGCACAAUAAUAUAUAUUUCAAGAUAUAGGUACUUAGGAGGCAUCCUUUUAGUCAUCUGUUCAAUGUAGCCAUCUAUUUUACACCUACUGUCUACUAUUGUUUGAGGUCCUUGCCAAAGUAUUGCAGGCUAGUUAGGAAACAUAAAACAAUUAGAAAGUAAUCUAUGACAAGUAAGCUAUCUAUAAAUGGCAAUGAAGGGUAGAACAAAUUCAAUGAAAAUAUCUAUUUAAUCCUAGUGUUUACUGGUCUAGAAGAAUAGGCUGAGUAAAUUAGUAUUUCUCUGGCUGUUGUGGUAACACAUUGCAUGCUAUAACAGUUUUAAGUAAUUACAGGUGCAUUGAAAUUUAUCUAUGGCUUUGUCAUCAUAUUCUAAAAUGUCAUGAGUACUUUUUUCUGACCUCAAUUACUAUGAAAUUGGUUUCCAAUAUUUAAUUAACCAAGAAUAUCAAGUCUAUAGGGUAUUAUUAAGGUGAGACUUCUGUAGCCUUUUCAAUAAAGACCAGAAUUUUGGAGUGCCUUGAACCUUAAUCAUUGAUCUUUAAUUCUUAUUAAGUCAACUGCCCACCUUUUAAAGACUGAGGCCCAGGAAGAGUAAGUUUCUCUGAGACAAUGCAUACAGUACAGUGCUUCUUGGGUAUUGGCUCUAAGACCAGAUGCAAAGAAAGGCUAAAAUCCCAUUUCAUUGUUCAUUAGGUGAGAACCCUUUGUUAAGCUGUGUAACCUCUGUGCAUAGUUUCCUCAUCAGCAAAGUCAGAAAAAGUAUGUACCUGAAGGACUGAUUGUAAGGCUGGGAUGAGAGAAUCCAUGUGAUCAGCCCUCACCAACAGGUGCUGCCCAGUUCAUGAGUGCUGCUGCUGUCCUGCCCAAGUACCCAGCUUGCAGAGUGCCAGAGUUAGAGUCCCAGGGGUGUUCUCCACAGCUGCAUGCUUGAUCCAGGCCUAUCAGAUAUAUUCCAUUGAAAGUCCUCAUUCUCAAAUUUAAAACAAAGACUUUUUGUGUACCUCAAUAGCAAUGCACACACAGUUGGCUUCACAAACAUAUUGUACAUUUCUUUUUUUCAUAUUUAUUCAACAAAUGUAUAUUGACUACCCACCGUGUGACAGGUGUUAUUUGUUGACGGAACCAGGCAUCAUCAGCAAACAAAACUGACAAAGCUUCCUGCCCUCUGUGGAAGGCAUCUGAGGAAGAGACUGGAUUUUGUAGCAACAUGUUAUUCUCAUUAUAAACUUUAUCAUUGGAAUACUAAAGCCAAAUCAUCCCCCAUCUCCUUGAUCAGGAUACCCACUUAAUCUAGGCAGCUACACAAUUGUGAGAGCCUUUGUUUUUUUCUGCUGAAACAUCCUUAAAAAGAUACCUCACAACCCAAGAUUUGGCUUUUCUUAAAUACGAUUUUUAAUUUUUUUCAUUUCUAUCUAGAGAUUUAAUUGGAAAUGGAAAAUCAUCAAUUUUCCAAUUAAAUGUCUGUUCCAAUCAACAUUAUACCUUUUAGGUUGUCAUUGUCAUUUUUAAGUUUAAGCAACUUUAAGGAUUUUGAAUCUGGCUGCCUGUAAAUUAAAGGUGAAAGUAAUCAUUGUGUUGGAUUGGAACAUUUUGUCAAUUGAGAGUGGUUUCCUUGUUCUUAGUGUAUGAAAAGUUUAUUUUUCUAAUGUAGAUUAAUAAAGGAGAUAAAGAAAAACAAAAUGAGU
rnacentral:lncRNA from 1 species